rnacentral:tRNA from 1 species
GGCGUAGCUCAGUUGGUAGAGCAGCUGAUUUGUAAUCAGCCGGUCGGGGGUUCGAAUCCUCUCGCC